rnacentral:lncRNA from 1 species
UUUUUUUUUUUUUUUUUUUUAAAGUACAACUUCCAUUUUAUUUUUCCAGGGUAGUUUUCCUUCUGUCCUUACAAAACGGCCUCUUUACAUGGGCUUUGGUGGAGGUCGAGGUGCAGCGCCAGCAGGUCUGAAUCGUGGUGGGGGUGUUCGGUCCUUCCGGGCUUCGCGGGAUCGAUUCCUAACAACCUUGCUAUGGAUGGCACAGCUCACGCAAUAAUGCAGCUUGACAUAGAGCUUGGGAAGCACGUAGGCGUCGAAGACGCUUGCUUCAGAUAUGUCCCUGACAGCAGCGGCUUCUACAAUGUUCCGAAUGACAAACUUCUUGAUGGCCUUAUCCUUGGGCACGCACCGGGCGCAGUUCGUGCAGCGAAUGGGCUGCACAUGGCCGCGGCCCUUUUUGGCACGACCGUUGUUUCUUCUUUUUUUGGUCAUCUUGGAGCCAAGACUCG